rnacentral:rRNA from 1 species
AUGAGCUCGAAGCGCAUAAGGAGCCUGACGGACUUGUACCUGUUGCCCUUGCGGUCAUGGAGGGGCACGGCGCGGAUCCCCUGCUUCAGCUCCAUCACCGGCAGGCACGUCUGCCCCCCGAAGUCGUGCUUCUCCGACAUGUCGUACUCCUGGACCUCCACCCUCAGCAGGGCCAGCUCAGGGACCGUCAGCGGGAACGUGAACUCCUCGUCCCACACCGGCACCCACUGGUCCUCGAUCGUCCGGGUCUUCUUCAUCACGCAGUCCGCCCGCACCCCCGCGAUCCCCACCUGUUUUAUUCAACAUUGCCAACCAUAUACAUUCUCAACAAAAAGUUGCCACUCCAGUUGA